rnacentral:rRNA from 1 species
GUUGUUAGUAAUAAAAUUAUGAAAGCAAAAAAUUAUGGCGGUAUUUUAAGCUUUUCAGAGGAAUUUGCUCUUUAAUGGAUAAAACACCUAAAUCUUACUUGAAUUUGUUAAAUCAAUUUGUAUACCACUAUAAAAACAAUUAAUAACUUUAAUUGUUAAAAUUUAUUGAAUUAAAUUAUGUUAAGUCAAGGUGCAGUAAAAAUUUAAGAAUGAAGUGAAUUACAUUUCUUUUCAGAAAUAAAAAAUUAAAUUUACAUAUAGGAUUUGAAAGUAAAAUUAAAAUAGAAUGUUAAUUUGAAUAAAGCUCUAAAAUAUGUAC